rnacentral:rRNA from 1 species
GAUAACCCGCAGUCACACCCGUGACUCACAGGCUAAAUGGUGAUGGGCGUAGAUGUUAGGCAUCUAUGCUUCAGAUAUAGUCGGUCCCCAGAUGUCUCUGGGAGUAUGUAAACGUUCCGUAGGUGAACCUGCGGAAGGAUCAU